AUGACUUUAUCUGAUUUGUUUGUUUAUAAAAGAGCAAACUGGUUAUUGUCAGUGUCAGUUUUAGUGCAGGAGGUUUUUGUACAGCCGCUCAUUGGGUUUGCAUCACUGUGGCGCACAUUCGGUGGAGGAACACGACUCUCAGUUGGCACUGGCACUCGCCCCACUCUCACGGUCCUGCCUCCCUCCAGAGGCGAGCUGCAGCAGGGUAAGGCUACAGUGCUGUGUUUGGGCAGUAAGGGAUUCCCCUCUGACUGGAAGCUGAGCUGGAAGGUGGAUGGCAGUAGCAGGAGCUCUGCUGUGAAUCUGAGUCCCAGUGUUCUGCAGAAGGAUGGACUGUACAGCUGGAGCAGCAGCCUGAGUCUCACUGAGAGUGAGUGGAGCCGAGCAAAAACCAUCAGCUGUGACGCCACACACACAUCCCAGAAUGCAGUGACCCAGAGCCUGAACACACAGCUGUGUGAUGAUGACCAGUGAAACACACACACAUAUCACACAAA